rnacentral:rRNA from 1 species
UAAAAUGAGAGUUUGAUCCUGGCUCAGGACGAACGCUGGCGGCGUGCCUAAUACAUGCAAGUCGAACGAAACUUUCUUACACCGAAUGCUUGCAUUCACCGUAAGAAGUUGAGUGGCGGACGGGUGAGUAACACGUGGGUAACCUGCCUAAAAGAAGGGGAUAACACUUGGAAACAGGUGCUAAUACCGUAUAUCUCUAAGGAUCGCAUGAUCCUUAGAUGAAAGAUGGUUCUGCUAUCGCUUUUAGAUGGACCCGCGGCGUAUUAACUAGUUGGUGGGGUAACGGCCUACCAAGGUGAUGAUACGUAGCCGAACUGAGAGGUUGAUCGGCCACAUUGGAACUGAGACACGGCCCAAACUCCUACGGGAGGCAGCAGUAGGGAAUCUUCCACAAUGGACGCAAGUCUGAUGGAGCAACGCCGCGUGAGUGAAGAAGGUCUUCGGAUCGUAAAACUCUGUUGUUAGAGAAGAACACGAGUGAGAGUAACUGUUCAUUCGAUGACGGUAUCUAACCAGCAAGUCACGGCUAACUACGUGCCAGCAGCCGCGGUAAUACGUAGGUGGCAAGCGUUGUCCGGAUUUAUUGGGCGUAAAGGGAACGCAGGCGGUCUUUUAAGUCUGAUGUGAAAGCCUUCGGCUUAACCGGAGUAGUGCAUUGGAAACUGGAAGACUUGAGUGCAGAAGAGGAGAGUGGAACUCCAUGUGUAGCGGUGAAAUGCGUAGAUAUAUGGAAGAACACCAGUGGCGAAAGCGGCUCUCUGGUCUGUAACUGACGCUGAGGUUCGAAAGCGUGGGUAGCAAACAGGAUUAGAUACCCUGGUAGUCCACGCCGUAAACGAUGAAUGCUAGGUGUUGGAGGGUUUCCGCCCUUCAGUGCCGCAGCUAACGCAAUAAGCAUUCCGCCUGGGGAGUACGACCGCAAGGUUGAAACUCAAAGGAAUUGACGGGGGCCCGCACAAGCGGUGGAGCAUGUGGUUUAAUUCGAAGCAACGCGAAGAACCUUACCAGGUCUUGACAUCCUUUGACCACCUAAGAGAUUAGGCUUUCCCUUCGGGGACAAAGUGACAGGUGGUGCAUGGCUGUCGUCAGCUCGUGUCGUGAGAUGUUGGGUUAAGUCCCGCAACGAGCGCAACCCUUGUUGUCAGUUGCCAGCAUUAAGUUGGGCACUCUGGCGAGACUGCCGGUGACAAACCGGAGGAAGGUGGGGACGACGUCAAGUCAUCAUGCCCCUUAUGACCUGGGCUACACACGUGCUACAAUGGACGGUACAACGAGUCGCGAGACCGCGAGGUUUAGCUAAUCUCUUAAAGCCGUUCUCAGUUCGGAUUGUAGGCUGCAACUCGCCUACAUGAAGUCGGAAUCGCUAGUAAUCGCGAAUCAGCAUGUCGCGGUGAAUACGUUCCCGGGCCUUGUACACACCGCCCGUCACACCAUGAGAGUUUGUAACACCCAAAGCCGGUGGGGUAACCGCAAGGAGCCAGCCGUCUAAGGUGGGACAGAUGAUUGGGGUGAAGUCGUAACAAGGUAGCCGUAGGAGAACCUGCGGCUGGAUCACCUCCUUU